CCUGUCCCAAAGAUAUACAAUGAGCAAAUAACAUAUUUAUUGGAUCCAAAUCAAAGAAACAUGCAGUUGGUUCAAAUAAGGAGUGGAAACCAAAGGUGAUCAGCUCUAA